rnacentral:rRNA from 1 species
GGCUCAGGACGAACGCUGGCGGCGUGCUUAACACAUGCAAGUCGAACGGGGAUCAUCGGGCGGAAGGCUUCGGCCGGAAGGCUGGUGAUUCCAGUGGCGGACGGGUGAGUAAUGCGUGAACAAUCUGUCCCAGACAGGGGGGAUAACACUUGGAAACAGGUGCUAAUACCGCAUGAGACCACGGUGUCGCAUGGCACAGGGGUAAAAGGAGCGAUCCGGUUUGGGGUGAGUUCGCGUCCGAUUAGCCAGUUGGCGGGGUAACGGCCCACCAAAGCGACGAUCGGUAGCCGACCUGAGAGGGUGAUCGGCCACAUUGGAACUGAGAGACGGUCCAAACUCCUACGGGAGGCAGCAGUGGGGAAUAUUGGGCAAUGGGCGAAAGCCUGACCCAGCAACGCCGCGUGAGUGAAGAAGGCCUUCGGGUUGUAAAGCUCUGUUAUAGGGGACGAAGUGCGUGACGGUACCCUAUAAGGAAGCCCCGGCUAACUACGUGCCAGCCGCUGC